rnacentral:rRNA from 1 species
UACGUAGGGUGCAAGCGUUAAUCGGAAUUACUGGGCGUAAAGCGUGCGCAGGCGGUUGUGCAAGACAGAUGUGAAAUCCCCGGGCUUAACCUGGGAACUGCAUUUGUGACUGCACGGCUAGAGUGUGUCAGAGGGGGGUAGAAUUCCACGUGUAGCAGUGAAAUGCGUAGAUAUGUGGAGGAAUACCGAUGGCGAAGGCAGCCCCCUGGGAUGACACUGACGCUCAUGCACGAAAGCGUGGGGAGCAAACAGG